rnacentral:ncRNA from 22 species
AGCAGAGUAGAAAAUCUAGCGUAAAGUGCCAGCCGGACGGGGAGUUGCCGGCAGGACGAAGAGUUAAAUGCUCGCGGUGAGGUUUUCGCAUCCCGCUGUU